GGAUUGCCCCAGUAACGGCGAGUGAAGCGGCAACAGCUCAAAUUUGAAAUCUGGGCCCCCAGGGCCCGAGUUGUAAUUUGUAGAGGAUGCUUUUGGCGCGGUGCCUUCCGAGUUCCCUGGAACGGGACGCCAUAGAGGGUGAGAGCCCCGUCUGGUUGGACACCUAGCCUCUGUAAAGCUCCUUCGACGAGUCGAGUAGUUUGGGAAUGCUGCUCUAAAUGGGAGGUAUAUGUCUUCUAAAGCUAAAUACCGGCCAGAGACCGAUAGCGCACAAGUAGAGUGAUCGAAAGAUGAAAAGCACUUUGAAAAGAGGGUUAAAUAGUACGUGAAAUUGUUGAAAGGGAAGCGUUUGUGACCAGACUUGGGCCCGGUUGAUCAUCCACCGUUCUCGGUGGUGCACUCUGCCGGCCCAGGCCAGCAUCAGUUCGCGCCGGGGGAUAAAGGCUUCGGGAAUGUGGCUCCUCCGGGAGUGUUAUAGCCCGUUGUGUAAUACCCUGGUGCGGACUGAGGUUCGCGCUCCGCAAGGAUGCUGGCGUAAUGGUCAUCAGCGACCCGUCUUGAAACACGGACCAAGGAGUCGUCUUCGUAUGCGAGUGUUCGGGUGUCAAACCCCUACGCGUAAUGAAAGUGAACGCAGGUGAGAGCUUCGGCGCAUCAUCGACCGAUCCUGAUGUUCUCGGAUGGAUUUGAGUAAGAGCAUACGGGGCCGGACCCGAAAGAAGGUGAACUAUGCCUGUAUAGGGUGAAGCCAGAGGAAACUCUGGUGGAGGCUCGCAGCGGUUCUGACGUGCAAAUCGAUCGUCAAAUAUGGGCAUGGGGGCGAAAGACUAAUCGAACCUU
rnacentral:rRNA from 1 species